UACGUAGGGUGCGAGCGUUAAUCGGAAUUACUGGGCGUAAAGCGUGCGCAGGCGGUUCGCUGUGUCCUGUGUGAAAGCCCCCGGGCUUAACCUGGGAAUGGGCAUGGGAAACUGGCGGGCUGGGAGUGGUGGCAGAGGGGGGUGGGAAUUCCGACGUGUAGCAGUGAAAUGCGUAGAGAUGUGGAGGAACACCGAUGGCGAAGGCAGCCCCCUGGGCUAACACUGACGCCUCAUGCACGAAAGCGUGGGGAGCAAACAGG
rnacentral:rRNA from 1 species